CCCAAGCUAGCUCAGCCUGGUAGAGCUUCCGGCUGUAGUAGUUGGCUUUAGGCUAAACUGAAUUCCAGCCUAUCAGGCAUACAGAAACCGGGUUGUCGAAGGUUCAAUUCCUUCGCUUGGGA
rnacentral:tRNA from 9 species